GUCUACUCCGGUUGCUGUAAGAAGAUACCAUAGACUGGGUCAUUAACACAGUAACAUUUUAUUUCUCACAGUUCUGGAGACUGGAAGUCUAAGAUCAAGGUGCUGUCAAGAGAAGGCUGAGGAGGAGAAGGAAGAGGAGGGCUUGGUCUCGCUGUCUCUGGGUGGUAGCGAUGGAAGAAAAUCUACACAUAAAUAAUUGAUGUUUUUGGUUCUGGUGAAGACGGAGUAAGCACACUACCCUAUCUCUGUGGUAGCCUGCAGCUGAAACCUUGGAUUGAAUGAAGCAGCUGUCUGUGGACUCUUAAAAGUAGAUGAUGGCAGGAACACUGAAGGAGAUUAGAGCCCAAGUAAGAACAAUGCAGCCGUGAAGUUCUUGGAUUUGUUUUUCUUUGGAAUCCUCUGGCCUGGAUUCAAAGCAGCUUGAAACCUGAAAUUGCAUGCUUGAUAUGAAUAGAAUGAAUUCCAAGAGAAGCCUUCUCUUUCUCAUCGACCUUUCACAAAAUAAUAAAGGAUAACUCAGAGGACAGAAUCAAGAGCCAAGAGUUGGAGCCAAGAGCCUGGAAGACUUGAAACCUAAUUGAGAAACUUCCAACAUUUUGACUGUCUGGAUUUCAGAACUUUAAUGGAUCAAUGACUCCUUUUUACCUUCCAUUUUUCCCCUUUUAAACCAGAAUGUCUACAAUUGUAAUACUUUGCCUGGCCAACUAUUAUAUUUUGAGUAAGUUGGGGGCAGAUAACUUGUCUCUUUAUUUUCACAGGUCUACACAUGGAAAAGAGGAAUUAUGCCCUAAGAGCUGCAUUUAAUAGAUUAUAGACUCAGGAGCCUCAUCUGUACCACCCUGACUUGAUUUAAAUGGUGAGAUUUUGGAUUUUCAGCUGAUGCUACAAUGGGUUGAAACUCGGGGAUCUUGGGAGAAGAUGAAUGUAUUUUUUACACAGGAACUAGUAUGAAGCACUGGAGGCAGAGAGUGGACUGUGACAGGCAGACCCUGAGGUGAUCUCUCCAGUGACCCCUGUCUUCUGGUAUGCCCUUGUAUAACCUCGCCCCUUAAGUGUGGAUGGGACUUGUGACUUUCCUUUAGCCUAUACAAUAUGCUAAAGAUGACAAGAUGUCACAGCUGUGAUUGCAUUACAUUGUAUUAGACUCCAUCCUGCUAGCAGACAAAAGAUACAGAGUCUCCUGCAGCAUUUGGUGAAGUAAGUAAUCAGGUUGAAAAAGCUCACAUGACAAAUAAAAGCAGAUGGCCUCUAGGAUCUGAAGGCAGACUCCAGCUGAUUGUUAGCAAAAAGUUAUACAGCUGCAAGAAAAUAAAUUUUGCCAACAACAGGAAUGAACUUAAAAGUAGAUGCUUCCCCAGUCAAGCCUCCAGAUGAGAACACAGCCUGACCAGCACUUUGAUUACAGCUUUAUGAAGCACUGAGCAGAAGACCCACCUGAAUUCUAUCUGGAUUCCCAACCCAUAGAAACUGUGAGAUCAUAAAUGUACAUCUUGUUUCAGGUCAUUACAUGUACAUGUAUUGUAAUUUGUUAUGCAACAAUAGAAAAAUACAUGGAUCAAAAUAUAUUAGACAGAAAAAAAGAUUGAAAAACAAAAGGAAUACAGCCUCAAAAACCUAUUAGACAAUACCAAAAAGUUUAAUAUUUAUGUCACUGACAUCCCAGAAAAUAAGAGAAAGAUUGUGGUAGAGAAAAAAUAAUUGUUUUAUAAUAACACCUGAAAAUUUCCUGAUAUUGGGAUUCAAAAAACUUGGUGAAUUCAAAUAAACCCAUGUUCAAUGCAUCACAAUCAAACUGCUAGAAACUAGAGAAAAAAAAAACAAAAACAAUGCAUUACACAUAGAGGAACAGUAAUCUGAAUCAUGAUAUGUUUCUCAUUGAAACCAUGGAGGUCAGAAGACAGUGGAAUGUUUUUUGUUUUUUGUUUUGUUUUUGAGAUAGAGUCUUGCUCUGUCACCCAGGCUGGAGUGCAGUGGUGAGAUCUUGGCUUACUGCAACCUCCACCUCCCAGGUUCAAGCAAUUCUUCUGCUUCAGCCUCCCAAGUAGCUGGGAUUACAGACAUGUGCCACCGUAAUUUUGUAUUUUUAGUAGAGAUUUGGUUUUACCAUGUUGGUCAGGCUGGUCUUGAACUCCUGACCUCAGGUGAUCUGCUUGCGUCGGCCUCCCAAAGUGCUAGGAUUACAGAUGUGAGCCACCGCACCUGGCUGGAAUGUUUUGUAAGUACUAGAAAAAAUGAAGUUAACCUAGAAAUCUAUAUCCAGUUACAAUAUCCUUCAGGAAUGAAGGCAAAAUUGUUAUAUCAGAUGAAAGGAGACUAAGAAUUUGUCACCAGCCAACAUGCUCUAAAAGAAAGACUGAAGGAAUUGCUUCAGAUGAAAAUGAAAUGAUGCUCAAGGAAAAAUGAGAACUUCAGGAAAGAAGGAAGAGCAAAAGAAAUACUAAGUGAAUAUAAUAAUUUUUCUUUGCUUAAGUUCUUUAAAACAUGUAUGACAAUUAAAAUAAAAAUGAUAACAUUGUCAUAUAGGGUCUUGGAUAUAUGUGCAAUACAUAGGACAAUUACAACGUAAGCACCCAACAAGACCAGAAUCCACCUUCUUUUCCAAUACGUGUAGAACAUUCACCAAGAUAGAUCAUAUCCAGGUCAUACUUCAGUAAACUUAAAAGAAUGCAAUCAUACAGAAUAUGUGCUUUUGUCCUUCUUGUUACUUCACGUGUUCCCUGUUCACACCUCACUUUCCUCCAGCCUUCCCCUACACCGAACCCGGUCCCUGCUUGCUCUCCCCUCCCCCUGCUCCCCAUUCUCACAGGUUUAUUUCAAUCUCUUUUCAUCUCAGCAUCCUUUUUCCAUUUUUCUGGUCCCUCCCCCUCAAUCACUCAUGGGUCACAAGACAUUUAUUGAGACAGAUAACAACGUGUCUUGGAAAGACUAUAGAGAAAUUAGAAACCUCAUACUCUGCUGGGGGGAGGAUAAAAUGGUGCAGUUGGUGUAUGAAAAAACUCUGGUGGUUCCUCAAAAGUUUAAACAGAGUUACUCUAUAGCCCAGAAGUCUCACUCCUAGAUCUGCAAGAGAAUUGAAAAUGUAUGUCUACACAAUCUUCACAGCAGCAUUAUUCAUCAUAGCCAAAAAGUACAAACAACCAAAACAAAAUAGGGUAUAUCCCAGACAGGCGGGGUGGCUCACACCUGUAAUCCCAGCACUUUGGGAGGCCGAGGCGAGUGAAUCAUUUGAGGUCAGGAGUUCGAGACCAGCCUGGCCAAUGUGGUGAAACCCCCAUCUCUACUAAGAAUACAAAAAUUAGCCAGGCGUGGUGGUGGGCACCUGUAAUCCCAGCUACUUGGGAUGCUGAGGCAGGAGAAUCACUUGAACCCGGGAGGCGGAAGUUGCAGUGAGCUGAGAUCAUGCCAUUGCAUUCCAGCCUGGGUGACAGGAUUGAAACUGUCUCAACAAAACAAAACAAAAAACAACAACAAAAAAGGGUAUAUCCAUCCAAUGGAAUAUUGUUCAGCUAUCAAAUGGAAUGAAGUACUGAUUUGUGCCACAACAUGGACAAAUCCGAAAACAUUCUGCUAAGUGAAAGAAGCCAGUCACAAAACACUAUAUAUUGCACGUGAUUCCAUUUAUAUGAAAUGCCCAGGAUAGACAAAUAUGUAGAGAAAGAAAGUAGACUAGUGUAUUCCUAGGACUUAGGAGGAAUGGCUGGGGUGGAGGGUGAUGGAAAGAGCAUGGUGUUUCUUUUGAGGGUAAUGAAAACACUCUAAAAUUUAAUGUGCCUGUAAUCCCAGCACUUUGGGAGACCGAAGCGGGCAGAUCACCUGAGGUCAGGAGUUUGAGACCAGCCUGAGCAAAAUGGUGAAACCCAGUCUCUAAUAAAAAUACAAAAAUUAGUUAGGCAUGGUGGCAGGCGCCUGUAAUCCCAGCUACUCAGGAGGCUGAGACACUAGAAUUGCUUGAACCCGGGAGGCAGAGGUUGCAGUGAGCCAAGAUCCCACCACUGCACUCCAGCCUGGGGGACAGAGUGAGACUCUAUGCCCAACUCUGUGAAUAUACUAAAGGCAUAUAUUUGAAUGAAUUGUAUAGUAAGUGAAAAUCUCAAUAAAACUGCUUUAAAAAUA